rnacentral:rRNA from 1 species
UACGUAGGGGGCUAGCGUUGUCCGGAAUCAUUGGGCGUAAAGAGCGUGUAGGCGGCCCGGUAAGUCCGCUGUGAAAGUCGGGGGCUCAACCCUGGAAUGCGGGUGGAUACUGCCGGGCUAGAAUCCGGAAGAGGCGAGUGGAAUUCCUGGUGUAGCGGUGGAAUGCGCAGAUAUUCGGAGGAACACCAGAGGCGAAGGCGGCCAACUGGUCCGGUACUGACGCUGAGGCGCGAAAGCGUGGGGAGCAAACAGG